rnacentral:lncRNA from 1 species
AUGAAAGCAGAAUAUAUAACCUGAAGUAGAAUGUAGACCUAAAUACCCAGAAGCUCCAUCAGUUAGGUUUAUAACAAAAAUUAUUAUGAAUGGAAAAAUUAAUUCCAGCGGGACUGUGGAUGCAUGGAGCAUACCAGUGUUAGCAAAAUGGCAAAAUCCAUACAACAUUAAAGUUCUACUUACUUCAAGAGCUAAGACAUCUAAUGACAUCCAAAGAAAAUAAGUAGCUUCCACAGCCACCAGAAGUAAAACCAUGACA